rnacentral:rRNA from 1 species
AAACUGCGAAUGGCUCAUUAUAUAAGUUAUCGUUUAUUUGAUAGUACCUUACUACUUGGAUAACCGUGGUAAUUCUAGAGCUAAUACAUGCUACAAAUCCCGACUCCGGAAGGGAUGUAUUUAUUAGAUUAAAAACCAAUGCCCUCUGGGCUCCCUGGUGAUUCAUGAUAACUCCUCGAAUCGCACGGCCUUGCGCCGGCGAUGGUUCAUUCAAAUUUCUUCCCUAUCAACUUUCGAUGUUUGGGUAUUGGCCAAACAUGGUCGCAACGGGUAACGGAGGGUUAGGGCUCGACCCCGGAGAAGGAGCCUGAGAGACGGCUACUACAUCCAAGGAAGGCAGCAGGCGCGCAAAUUACCCAAUCCCGACACGGGGAGGUAGUGACAAUAAAUACUGAUACAGGGCUUUUUUGGGUCUUGUAAUUGGAAUGAGUACAAUUUAAACCCCUUAACGAGGAACAAUUGGAGGGCAAGUCUGGUGCCAGCAGCCGCGGUAAUUCCAGCUCCAAUAGCGUAUAUUAAAGUUGUUGUGGUUAAAAAGCUCGUAGUUGAACCUUGGGCCUGGCUGGCCGGUCCGCCUCACCGCGUGCACUGGUCCGGCCGGGCCUUUCCCUCUGCGGAGCCCCAUGCCCUUCGCUGGGCGUGGCGGGGAAGCAGGACGUUUACUUUGAAAAAAUUAGAGUGCUCCAGGCAGGCCUAUGCUCGGAUACAUUAGCAUGGAAUAAUAAAAUAGGACGCGCGGUUCUAUUUUGUUGGUUUCUAGGACCGCCGUAAUGAUGAAUAGGGACAGUCGGGGGCAUCAGUAUUCAAUUGUCAGAGGUGAAAUUCUUGGAUUUAUUGAAGACUAACUACUGCGAAAGCAUUUGCCAAGGAUGUUUUCAUUAAUCAGGAACGAAAGUUAGGGGAUCGAAGACGAUCAGAUACCGUCGUAGUCUUAACCAUAAACUAUGCCGACUGGGGAUCGGACGAUGUUAUUUC